UACGGAGGGUGCGAGCGUUGUCCGGAUUUAUUGGGUUUAAAGGGUGCGUAGGUGGCUAUUAAGUCAGUGGUGAAAUACAGCCGCUAACGGUUGAGGUGCCAUUGAUACUGAAUGGCUUGAAAAGAUUGAUGGAGCUGCCGGAAUGGAUGGUGUAGCGGUGAAAUGCAUAGAUAUCAUCCAGAACACCGAUUGCGAAGGCAGGUGGCUACGAUUUGUUUGACACUGAGGCACGAAAGCAUGGGGAGCAAACAGG
rnacentral:rRNA from 1 species